ACUGGGACCACGCCUCCGUAUAAGUGUUGGAGAACAAUCACAUUCAAAGCUCAGGACCUGGAGCCCCGGCCUGCUGCAUGGUUCAUCUUCAUUGUCAACCUGACUGGAUUUGGAAUUAUCUAGAAGAUGUACCUCUGAAGGGAAGAGCCACCCUGAAUGUGGGAGGCACCAUCUUUAUGCUAAAAUUGAAGAAAGCACGUUGGGGCAGCAACAUUCAUCUUCUUGCUGCUUCUGGACUGAAUGUGACCCAACCUGAGCCAGAAUAAAUCCCUCUCCCUUUAAA
rnacentral:lncRNA from 1 species